AUGGUCUCUGUCCGGGUCGCGGACAACAAAAGACAGUGCUGCGUGUGUGGAGCCUCGUGCCCCAAGGUGGUCGUCACCAGGGCCAACGCCUGGGACGCCUCGCUCCUCUCCCAGAUGCCGUUCGCGAUGCGAGAAGGCGACCACGGCCGGUACUGGUACAACAGGAGGACGGGGGGCUACUUCGACGACUACCAGCAAUAUCACGCCGUGCAACGCGCGUCCGACAUAAUACCGCUGCCCUUCUAUCAGCCCACGAUUAUGUUCCUGCUCGUUUACGCUGCCAGUUUCUUCUUUGGAGGAGUUCUCGGCCAUGCCUUGGCGAUGAAUGCAAAGCAUACAUGGUCCAGAGUGAUGGCUUAUGCUGUGUGCAUUUUGGUUUGCCUGAUCAUAGCUAGCUCCUUAUGGUGCGGGCCCAGGUACUGCUGUAACGUGGAGGAAUCCAAAAACGCCGAGAUGGACCAAACUUCAGGCAAUAGGAAUUGA
rnacentral:rRNA from 1 species